GCUUUUUGAUACUUGAAUAAAAAGUAUGGUCUGCCCAGUGAAAUUUUAACGGCCGCAAUAUUUGUGCGAAGGUAGCAUAAUCAUUUGUCUUUUAAUUGAUGACUGGAAUGAAUGGCUGGACGGAGAAAAGCUGUCUCUUUUAUAUUUUUUAAAAAUUUACUUUCAAGUUAAAAGGCUUGAAUAAUAUAGAGGGACGAGAAGACCCUAUUGAGUUUUAUAGCUAAACUUCAAAUUUUUCUUUAAUUUUAAAUAAUAGCUAUUUAGUUGGGGUGACUUUAUAAUAAAAUCUAUAUUAGAAUUAAUAGACAUUAAGUUAUUAGGAUCCAUACUUUAUGAUAAAUAGAUCAAAUUACCUUAGGGAUAACAGCGUAAUAUUUUUUUAGAGUCCAAAUCGAUUAAAAUGCUUACGACCUCGAUGUUGGAUUAAAGAACCUAAUUGGAGAAGAAGCUAAUUUAGGUAGUCUGUUCGACUAUUAAAUCUUUACA
rnacentral:rRNA from 1 species